UGCAGAUCGAGCAUUAUUUUUUUUAGCACAUGUUCUGCAUGGCUCGCUAGUUGCUUGGCAUGGUGCUGGUAGCUGGCUGAUGUAGCAGUGCUUCUGGAGGAGGGCCUCUGAUGCAGUUUUUCCUAGAUGGACACGCACUGUUGGAACUGAGGCACCCUGCUGUCAGGAAGCCCAGGCCACAUGAGGCCACCCACAGGUGUUCCAGCUGACAGCCCAAGAUUAAGAUCUUAGCAUCAGCCAUCAGGCAUCCAAGUGAGCCAGACUUCUGAGGAUUCCAGCCGCUGCCUUUGGGUCUUCCAUCUGAGGCCCCAGACAUCAGAGGUACCAGUGACAAAUCAUCGUCACCGUGUUCUGUCUGCAUUCCUGACCCAUACAACCAUGAGCACAGUAAGUGCCUGCAGGAGGAGGAUCCAGCAGCCCAGGGGCCGUCUUCCCAAGAGCUAUGCAUGAGGCGCCAACCACACCUGCUCCACAGUCUCUGCUCCUGGUGGCCAGUGAGCGAAGCCAGUGUGCGUGGUCAUCACAGGACAGGGGAAGCAGGGUCACCAUCACCAGCAGCAUGAGCCGGCUGAGAAGUGCACCAGGCCCUUCAACUUUUUGGCAGAACAGGUGGGUAAUAAAGUCCCUCGGGGGCUAUGGGCUGUGACACAUGGUAGGGAAAGCCCCUUGUCGGCUGGGGAUGGGUCCAGGCACAAAUUCUGGCAGUGGCACAAAGGCACCACUGGUCUCAUAGUUCUACCUAAGCCAUACAGAUCCCCCUUACCUUUCCUAGUUUGUCAUUUAUGACUUGGAGUGCAUUCUGCACUGUGGCCCUCAUCAAAUCCUAUGUCAGCUGGGUGUAUGCAAGGCUACCAGAGCAAACCUGGUGUGUGUGUGUUGGCGGGGAGGGGUGGAGAGAGGGUGGCAAGCUGUUGGGGCCUUGCCCACAACUGGCUUCUUGGACCAGUAGGUGGAGUGGGGCCCAAACUGGGGAAGAAGGGACCAGAAGAGUUAGGCGUGAGCCCUAGGUCACUGCCUCAUGUUGUGGUGAGGGUGAGGCCAGCUGGGGGCCCCGCUGGCUGUGCCCAGGA